rnacentral:rRNA from 1 species
AUUGAACGCUGGCGGCAUGCCUUACUACAUGCAAGUCGAACGGCAGCACGGGAGCAAUCCUGGUGGCGAGUGGCGAACGGGUGAGGUAAUAUAUCGGAACGUGCCCGGUCGUGGGGAUAACGUAGCGAAAGCUACGCUAAUACCGCAUACGAUCUAUGGAUGAAAGCGGGGGAUCGCAAGGACCUCGCGCGAUUGGAGCGGCCGAUAUCAGAUUAGGUAGUUGGUGAGGUAAAGGGCUCACCAAGCCGACGAUCCUGUAGCUGGUCUGAGAGGACGACCCAGCCACACUGGGACUGAGACACGGCCCAGACUCCCUACGGGAGGCAGCAGUGGGGAAUUUUGGACAAUGGGCGCAAGCCCUGAUCCAGCAAUGCCGCGUGCAGGAUGAAGGCCU